UUUUUGUUUUGUUUUUCAUUAAAAACAUGGUUUCACACAGCACUAGUUCAAUUUUUUUUUAAUUUAUUUUUUUAUGAUGUCACAUGUACCUCAGAGAAAGCUGAAAGUUGUCAACACAGGGACUCCACAUUGGGUUAUGCAUUGGCUGUGUUGGGAAAUUAGGACACACCUUUGGGCUAGAGAAUGUGAGGACUUGAAAUAUAUAAACAGCUGUGUGCCAAACAGCUAACACAUGUGAAGGGUGGAAUGCCACCAACAUGUAAUAUUUAAAGCUCUAAGGAAACAUGGAGACUUGGGCCCAGUCCACAGACACUGAAGCACUGGAGGGUUUUCUGGGCUGUAAUUAUUUCCACAGUGCUUUUCAUCUGAAGUGUGCAUUCUGCGACCUGUGUAGAAGCUUCCUGAGGGUGGCAGAGCCCAUGGCUUUGUGGGUGUUACUCCUGCUCCUCAGUACUGUCGGUUCCUCGCUGUCCUUGAAUCUGCUCGACAUUCAGCACUUCCUUCUAGAAUUCCAAGGCUGCGUGACCAAGUGCGUGGCUCACAAAAACCCUUGCUGCAAAGGCUUUUGAUGAAUCUUAGCAGAGUUGAGGCAUCUUUCGAGUUUGGAGAUUCCUAUAAAGGCAGGUCAUUUUUGUAGCCUAUUUAUUUAGCAGGUCUCAUUUAAUUCUCAGGAAAAUUAAGCUCAUAUCGUAUAGCUUUCGUUAAAGGUAGUUGAGUAUGUGUUGGAUAUCAACUGAAAAGUUGGCUUUCGUAAGCAAAGGAGUAUGUCUGCUUGCUUUUCCUCACACCGCAAAGCAGUUGAAUUUCACUGUUUGAGUUUAUGUCAACUCUUGGAAAGAACAGCAUUCACAGCACCCUUUCAAUGAAAAGUCGAUGUUCUGUACCUCUGGACAGCUGUUUCCAGCUCAUAAUUUCAUCAGUGCCAAUGGAGAGUUUGGUUUUAUAACUCUUGUCUCUCCAUCUCUGCAUGUAAUCAUUGGAUAUGCUGUAUAUACUAAAGUAAUAUACAGAGUAUGUGUAAUUCUGACUUGAUUUAGAAGCUAAGUCAGUUGCCAAGUAACAGUUUGCAAUUUUACUCCAGCAAGUACUAAAUUGGCCCCCAAAAGUCCUGAUUUUGAUACUAAUUAAAAUUCUAUUCUCUAACCUG